UUCUUAAAUUUAAUUCUAAGUUAACAGUCAAUAGAUGGAUAAAUUUAUUUAAUUUAAUUAUUUCUUUCAAACUUCAUUGAUAUUAAUUUCGAAGUUACAUAAAAAAUGUAUUCCUCAUUUGAAUAUAGGCAAAAAUACAAAAUCGAAUUUACAAUUCAAGACAGAGCUGCGUGAUGAGAUUAGAAGUCAACUCCAGUUCGCUUUAAUUGCUGUGACUGUUUUGUGAAGAAUGCGGAACGAAUCAUGGAUAUUUUUAUUGCGGUUUAAGAGUUCUGCUCUCCACAAAUAGAAGUGCUCAGGUUGUUUUCAAUUAUAGGCCCGCCAUUUGGGCCAAAUCAAUUGGCAUAUUUUCACACAUAAACAUAAAUUGCCUUCGAUGCAAGAAAAAUAAAAGGACAGGCAUGGAAAAACAUAGACGGAGAGAGAGAGUAAAGCAUUAAGAAAAACACGCGCGUUUUGCUUUUUGCCAUCGCGCCAUUUCAUAAAUAUGUACAGCACGUAGACCAGCUCAAUUGCCAAUUAGAAGAAAAACGCCUUGGCACUUGGAAAGUCUGCUUUAAAAUACAGAGACAUAGAGGAGAGCCUGGGAAUGAAAAACUUUGCAGAAGUUCGGUGGCAAACCGCCGGAAGUUGAUUUGUAUACGAGAACGUAUGUGGUAGUAAGAGAGUUUUUAGCUUCGCAUGUAUUUCAAGUGCUGGAUGGAAUGAUUCCAGACGUACCAUAAUAAAGCAUCGAGCCCAAUAAAAUAAAAUGCUGCUAUGAUA